GGUUAAGCGACUAAGCGUACACGGUGGAUGCCCUGGCAGUCAGAGGCGAUGAAGGGCGUGCUAAUCUGCGAUAAGCGCCGGUAAGGUGAUAUGAACCGUUAUAACCGGCGAUACCCGAAUGGGGAAACCCAGUGUGACUCGUCACACUAUCAUUAACUGAAUCCAUAGGUUAAUGAGGCGAACCGGGGGAACUGAAACAUCUAAGUACCCCGAGGAAAAGAAAUCAACCGAGAUUCCCCCAGUAGCGGCGAGCGAACGGGGAGGAGCCCAGAGCCUGAAUCAGCAUGUGUGUUAGUGGAAGCGUCUGGAAAGGCGCGCGAUACAGGGUGACAGCCCCGUACACAAAAGCGCAUGUGCUGUGAGCUCGAUGAGUAGGGCGGGACACGUGGUAUCCUGUCUGAAUAUGGGGGGACCAUCCUCCAAGGCUAAAUACUCCUGACUGACCGAUAGUGAACCAGUACCGUGAGGGAAAGGCGAAAAGAACCCCGGCGAGGGGAGUGAAAAAGAACCUGAAACCGUGUACGUACAAGCAGUGGGAGCACAGGUUUACCUGUGUGACUGCGUACCUUUUGUAUAAUGGGUCAGCGACUUAUAUUCUGUAGCAAGGUUAACCGAAUAGGGGAGCCGGAGGGAAACCGAGUCUUAAUUGGGCGUUAAGUUGCAGGGUAUAGACCCGAAACCCGGUGAUCUAGCCAUGGGCAGGUUGAAGGUUGGGUAACACUAACUGGAGGACCGAACCGACUAAUGUUGAAAAAUUAGCGGAUGACCUGUGGCUGGGGGUGAAAGGCCAAUCAAACCGGGAGAUAGCUGGUUCUCCCCGAAAGCUAUUUAGGUAGCGCCUCGUGAAUUCAUCUCCGGGGGUAGAGCACUGUUUCGGCUAGGGGGCCAUCCCGGCUUACCAACCCGAUGCAAACUGCGAAUACCGGAGAAUGUUAUCACGGGAGACACACGGCGGGUGCUAACGUCCGUCGUGAAGAGGGAAACAACCCAGACCGCCAGCUAAGGUCCCAAAGUCAUGGUUAAGUGGGAAACGAUGUGGGAAGGCCCAGACAGCCAGGAUGUUGGCUUAGAAGCAGCCAUCAUUUAAAGAAAGCGUAAUAGCUCACUGGUCGAGUCGGCCUGCGCGGAAGAUGUAACGGGGCUAAACCAUGCACCGAAGCUGCGGCAGCGAACGUAUCACUUAAAGCGAUUCAGCGGGUUACGAUUGACGGAGCGAAGCGACGUCAAAGCGUAUACAAAGUCGAGUCGGUUUAAGGAUACGUUCGUUGGGUAGGGGAGCGUUCUGUAAGCCUGCGAAGGUGGCCUGUGAGGGUUGCUGGAGGUAUCAGAAGUGCGAAUGCUGACAUAAGUAACGAUAAAGCGGGUGAAAAGCCCGCUCGCCGGAAGACCAAGGGUUCCUGUCCAACGUUAAUCGGGGCAGGGUGAGUCGACCCCUAAGGCGAGGCCGAAAGGCGUAGUCGAUGGGAAACGGGUUAAUAUUCCCGUACUUGGUGUUACUGCGAAGGGGGGACGGAGAAGGCUAUGUUGGCCGGGCGACGGUUGUCCCGGUUUAAGCGUGUAGGUGUGUGUUCCAGGUAAAUCCGGUUCACUUUAACACUGAGGCGUGACGACGAGGCACUACGGUGCUGAAGCAACAAAUGCCCUGCUUCCAGGAAAAGCCUCUAAGCAUCAGGUAACAUCAAAUCGUACCCCAAACCGACACAGGUGGUCAGGUAGAGAAUACCAAGGCGCUUGAGAGAACUCGGGUGAAGGAACUAGGCAAAAUGGUGCCGUAACUUCGGGAGAAGGCACGCUGACAUGUAGGUGAAGUGAUUUACUCACGGAGCUGAAGUCAGUCGAAGAUACCAGCUGGCUGCAACUGUUUAUUAAAAACACAGCACUGUGCAAACACGAAAGUGGACGUAUACGGUGUGACGCCUGCCCGGUGCCGGAAGGUUAAUUGAUGGGGUCAGCGCAAGCGAAGCUCCUGAUCGAAGCCCCGGUAAACGGCGGCCGUAACUAUAACGGUCCUAAGGUAGCGAAAUUCCUUGUCGGGUAAGUUCCGACCUGCACGAAUGGCGUAAUGAUGGCCAGGCUGUCUCCACCCGAGACUCAGUGAAAUUGAACUCGCUGUGAAGAUGCAGUGUACCCGCGGCAAGACGGAAAGACCCCGUGAACCUUUACUAUAGCUUGACACUGAACAUUGAGCCUUGAUGUGUAGGAUAGGUGGGAGGCUUUGAAGUGUGGACGCCAGUCUGCAUGGAGCCGACCUUGAAAUACCACCCUUUAAUGUUUGAUGUUCUAACGUGGACCCGUAAUCCGGGUUGCGGACAGUGUCUGGUGGGUAGUUUGACUGGGGCGGUCUCCUCCUAAAGAGUAACGGAGGAGCACGAAGGUUGGCUAAUCCUGGUCGGACAUCAGGAGGUUAGUGCAAUGGCAUAAGCCAGCUUGACUGCGAGCGUGACGGCGCGAGCAGGUGCGAAAGCAGGUCAUAGUGAUCCGGUGGUUCUGAAUGGAAGGGCCAUCGCUCAACGGAUAAAAGGUACUCCGGGGAUAACAGGCUGAUACCGCCCAAGAGUUCAUAUCGACGGCGGUGUUUGGCACCUCGAUGUCGGCUCAUCACAUCCUGGGGCUGAAGUAGGUCCCAAGGGUAUGGCUGUUCGCCAUUUAAAGUGGUACGCGAGCUGGGUUUAGAACGUCGUGAGACAGUUCGGUCCCUAUCUGCCGUGGGCGCUGGAGAACUGAGGGGGGCUGCUCCUAGUACGAGAGGACCGGAGUGGACGCAUCACUGGUGUUCGGGUUGUCAUGCCAAUGGCACUGCCCGGUAGCUAAAUGCGGAAGAGAUAAGUGCUGAAAGCAUCUAAGCACGAAACUUGCCCCGAGAUGAGUUCUCCCUGAGACUUAGAGUCUCCUGAAGGAACGUUGAAGACGACGACGUUGAUAGGCCGGGUGUGUAAGCGCAGCGAUGCGUUGAGCUAACCGGUACUAAUGAACCGUGAGGCUUAACCUU
rnacentral:rRNA from 1 species